rnacentral:tRNA from 1 species
GUUAGUAUAGUUUAAUAUAAACACUAGGUUGUGACCCUAGAAAUAGAAAAUAUUUUCUUACAAACC